rnacentral:rRNA from 1 species
UACGAAGGGGGCUAGCGUUGCUCGGAAUUAUUGGGCGUAAAGCGCACGUAGGCGGCUUUGCAAGUUCGAUGUGAAAUCCCUCGGCUCAACCAAGGAAGUGCAUCGAAAACUGCAGAGCUUGAGUAGUUAAGAGGAUCGCGGAAUUCCCGGUGUAGAGGUGAAAUUCGUAGAUAUCGGGAGGAACACCAGUGGCGAAGGCGGCGAUCUGGGAACAUACUGACGCUGAGGUGCGAAAGCGUGGGGAGCAAACAGG